GUGGCAUAGCCGAGGGUGUGCUUCAGAUACGUGGGAAGGAAGAGGGAAGGCAGGAGCCGCUUGAACUCGAUUCCAUCGAUUCCGAGCCGCUCGGAGUAACGCAGAAAGUCUCGCUUGUAGUACUCGGAUGCGUAGACGCCCGCCGGGCUCGAGUGCGGAAGCAGGCCCAUCAGGAGAUUGAGGUGAGAGGGAGCCGUCCAGGUCGCGUAGCUCCAUCGGCACUCGACAUCUCCCAGGACGCGGAGGUUCUCCGGGCGCGCGGCAACCC
rnacentral:misc_RNA from 1 species